rnacentral:rRNA from 1 species
AACUGACGCUGAGGCACGAAGGCCAGGGGAGCGAAAGGGAUUAGAUACCCCUGUAGUCCUGGCAGUAAACGGUGCACGCUUGGUGUGCGGGGAAUCGACCCCCUGCGUGCCGGAGCUAACGCGUUAAGCGUGCCGCCUGGGGAGUACGGUCGCAAGAUUAAAACUCAAAGAAAUUGACGGGGACCCGCACAAGCGGUGGAGUAUGUGGCUUAAUUCGAUGCAACGCGAAGAACCUUACCUGGGCUUGACAUGUAAUGAACAACAUGUGAAAGCAUGCGACUCUUCGGAGGCGUUACACAGGUGCUGCAUGGCCGUCGUCAGCUCGUGUCGUGAGAUGUUUGGUUAAGUCCAGCAACGAGCGCAACCCCUGUUGCCAGUUACCAGCACGUGAAGGUGGGGACUCUGGCGAGACUGCCCAGAUCAACUGGGAGGAAGGUGGGGACGACGUCAGGUCAGUAUGGCCCUUAUGCCCAGGGCUGCACACGUACUACAAUGCCCAGUACAGAGGGGGCCGAAGCCGCGAGGCGGAGGAAAUCCUAAAAACUGGGCCCAGUUCGGACUGUAGGCUGCAACCCGCCUACACGAAGCCGGAAUCGCUAGUAAUGGCGCAUCAGCUACGGCGCCGUGAAUACGUUCCCGGGUCUUGUACACACCGCCCGUCACAUCAUGGAAGCCGGUCGCACCCGAAGUAUCUGAAGCCAACCGCAAGGAGGCAGGGUCCUAAGGUGAGACUGGUAACUGGGAUGAAGUCGUAACAAGGUAGCCGUAGGGGAACCUGCGGCUG